rnacentral:rRNA from 1 species
GACGAACGCUGGCGGCGUGCCUAAUACAUGCAAGUAGAACGCUGAAGGAGGAGCUUGCUUCUCUGGAUGAGUUGCGAACGGGUGAGUAACGCGUAGGUAACCUGCCUGGUAGCGGGGGAUAACUAUUGGAAACGAUAGCUAAUACCCCAUAAGAGUAGAUGUUGCAUGACAUUUGCUUAAAAGGUGCAAUUGCAUCACUACCAGAUGGACCUGCGUUGUAUUAGCUAGUUGGUGAGGUAACGGCUCACCAAGGCGACGAUACAUAGCCGACCUGAGAGGGUGAUCGGCCACACUGGGACUGAGACACGGCCCAGACUACUACGGGAGGCAGCAGUAGGGAAUCUUCGGCAAUGGACGGAAGUCUGACCGAGCAACGCCGCGUGAGUGAAGAAGGUUUUCGGAUCGGAAAGCUCUGUUGUAAGAGAAGAACGAGUGUGAGAGUGGAAAGUGCACACUGUGACGGUAUCUUACCAGAAAGGGACGGCUAACUACGUG